UGGUAGGGCCACAUCUGCCAGAGCCUGGAGUCUGCGAAGGCCGGGACCCGGUUCCCCGGCCCGCCGUGGGGAGUGUGCAAACCCGAGAGAACUGGGAAGUGCCGUCAGAAGCGAUAACUGACGACGUCUAACGUCUAUCUGACCGCAGUCGCUGAAACCUCUACAACUUAGUUGACCGUAACUGCCAGAGCCCUGCCCUGAAUUCCUGUCCUUACUCCCUCUUUCAGAUUGCGUACCCACUGCAGAGGGCUGAAGACGGGGUAGCCACGAGGUUGCAAAUUCGUGAAGAAUCAGCAGCAUGUUUGGCAGCUGAGUAUUGGAGCCAGGAGCCUGCCAUGAGGUUUUGAGAACAGGGUGCUGUUUUAGAGCUGGCAGCAGCAUCUCAGCCCAAGAGAAGGUUAUAUUCCCAGAGGAUGUCAGUCCCAAGGACCAGUAGCUGCCAUCAGUUUGGAUUCUGAAAACUAACCGGCAUCAACAUUGGGUGUAGAAACAUGCUUGCCUUGUGUAUCAGAGGACAUGCUCAGCAGAUCCAAGAGAUAUAUUUGGCAACUUUUUCUAGAAAAGGCACAUUAGGUAUCAUUCAUUACAUUCUUGAGUUUUUUUGGGGUUUUUUUUUUUUUUGAGACAGUCUUGCUGUGUUGCCCAGGCUGGAGUGUGGUGGCACAAUCACAGCUCAUUGCAGCCUCAAUCACCCAGGCCUAAGCAAUCCUCCCACCUUGUAGCUGGGACUACAGCUCACAGCACACCUGGCUAAAAUUUUUUUUUGUUGAGACGGAUUCUCUAUGUUGCUCAGGCUGGUCUCAAGCUCCUGGGCUUAGAUGGUCCUCCUGCCUCAGCUUCCAAAGGCACAGGCCAAGUUGUAGCUUUGUCCCUUGCCAUCAUGCCCAACAAGAGGUUCUAUACCUUUUAAUGAACUGACUUUCAUAAAUUGGUUAUGUUGGUGGGCAAGUUCUUUAAGCUGGAAAUUGUAAAUUCCUCCUGAAAUGUUUUUUCAUGCAGUUACCAUGAACUAA
rnacentral:antisense_RNA from 1 species